AUUCGUGACAAUUUGCUUUAGUAUGAAUUUUUCGGAGAUAGCAAUACUUCGAAUAUUUGUCGGUAGAGCUUAUAUACAUACAACUAUUCAUGUGAAAUAUGUCCAUCUGUAUAUAUUCUCCAGUUUUUGUUGGUGUUGCGUCAUGCGACUCUAAAUCUAAGAAUAUUUUUAAUCUAUUAUUUUUUAAGAAAUAAAUUUGUUAAUUUAUUUGAAUACAUUCUAAAACGUUUUCCAUCAUGUAAAAUACUUACAAUUUUUGUAGCAUAUAACUAUAACCAUCAUCUACUACCUAUGUAUUAGAAUAAUCUAUUACCAUGAAUUUAAGUUGCUGAAUUGAAUUAGAACUACAUACUUACCCCUUUUUUGUAUACAUACUUACCUUUAGUCUAAGCCGUUAGGUUAAGAUUUAGGCUAACUAAUGAACUGUUGGAAUAAAGAUUAUUAUUGUAUUAAAGAUCAUAACCGCGAACGGACGCUUUUCAAUUUUUAAUCGGAAUUAUUUAAAUUCGAAUUUAGCACAGGCAAUUAGCUUUUAGUUACGCAUCAUAGUGAGUCCAUCGUGUUUAACUUCAAUCUUAAAAACGCUUAAGAUUUUUUCAUGGCGCCCGAGCAGGGACUCAGUGCGUGGCUGUAAAAAAUUUUCGAAGAAAGUAAUACUUACUUAGCGUAUUAAUUUAAUUUCUAACGCGUGAGCAAUUGCCUGUGAAUUUUCAAUUUAUUUCGGUUUCGGUCGAGUGCAAGUGAUUAAAGUGACAACUAAAAAUAAAUGUCUGGACAAAGACAUUAAAAAUAAAAAUAAAAAUAAAAUAUAUCUAUAUAGAUAUACAUACAUAUCGUCACCUGAAAUGCAAAAUAACGUAUCAUCAAAAAAUUCGAAAUUGAGUGUCUUAUUGAUUACGCUUCACUACUUCAAAUUACAUACAUGAUAUUAAAUAUGUUCAACAUUUUCUGGUUCUGCGGUCAUAUAUAAACCAAUUUUAACCAAUAUUAAUAUUUUGUUUCACUCAUGUUCCAUUUUAUUCCGUGUUUCAUUCAUGCCACUGUAAAUUUCUGAAAAUGUUGUUACGUUAAUUUGCAUUUCAGGUGACGAUAUACAGAUAAAAACUUCAAAAAAAAAAAAAAAAUUUACAUUAAAAAUAGCAGUGGUUUGUGGAAAAUAUAUCACUUGUAUAUACAUACAUAUGUAUAUAAAAAAAUUGCGGAGUGUACACAUGCGACAUACACUCAAGUGAAUAAAAACGAAGUGGUAAAAUCAAACAUAAAGAAACUAAAAUACAAAUUAACCUAAACUAAAAAUUUAAAAAAGAUUGAGAGAAAAAUUCUGUGAAGUGUGUGGCGAAAAUAUAAUACAUACAUAUGUACAUGACAUACGUGCGGUAAAAUCACUAAUAGUGCGCAAACACAAGGAAAUAAAAGGAAAGAAGCAAAACCAAAAGGUGGUGAAUUAGGUUAAACAGGCAUAUUUUGCAAAUACAGUGGAGUGUCGAAAUACAAGCAGUGCCAAAUAAAGGCAUUUACAUUUUUUCUGCUCAGUGGUUACACAGUUAGUGCAUGAGAUUAAUUGCGGUAAAGCAGAUUUAUUAAAAACGACCGCCAAAAAUAUAAAGUGCCGUUCCUAAACAAAAUAAAAAGAGUGUCGCGAGUGCCGCUAAAAAGUGCCGGAAAAGAGGUACAAACCCGUUGAAAGAAAAGUGCCGUAAAACUAAACCCGAUAACUUUGGCCGUUAAAACGUGAAACAGCUAUUUGGGGUAACAUCACACCGGUACCGAACGGGCUUGCGUCAACACCAUCGUCGCUCUGCUGCUGUGUCAACGCCGAUUCUCGCCGCUGCCAAGUCAACGUCAACACCAUCGUCCCACCGCUGCUGCGUCAACGCGUAUUCUCGCCGCUGCCAAGUCAACGUCAACAACACCGUCGCUGCUAACGUCGACGCCAGAUCCGUCUCUUCGUGGGAAUGAGCUGCAAUUGCAUUCUCUGCAAAAGGGAAGUGGACGCAGGCAAACCGCCUAUGCAUUCACAACAGAUGGUAAAAUCCCUGAAGGCUGUUAGAGCGAAUUACGCUGUAUUGCUAAAAUUGUUUCUUUGUCGAUCUACGGAUAAAGAAAUAGACAAUUCUGUGUCAGCCAAAGCGUUAGGGUUUUUUGAGUUCAUGGCAUCGUUCGAAUGCUUUUUUAUGUUAACAAUGAUAAUCGAAAUUUUUAAUCGCAUCGAAAUAUUGAACACCGAACUCCAAAAAUCAAACCUUUCUGUUAUUGACUCCUACAAAAAAGUGAAUGCUGUACGUGCAGUUUUGGAAGCUGCUGGUGAAACCAAGUUUGAAGAAGAUUGGAAAAAGAGUACGCAAGGCGCUGUCGAACUUGAACUUGAUGACCCUAUGCUCGUCAACGCAAAAUAAGUAAAUGGCUCGAGCAAGGCACAAGCGAAGCCCGUAUAUAUUUAAAUCGCCUGAAGAAUAUUAUAGGAAACAGUUCUUUGAAGUGUACGACCAGCUUAUUGAGUCCCUCAGAAGUCGAUUCGAAAAUGAUUCUGCUCAAUAUUUCAAAUUAUUGGAACAAUUUGCAUUGUGCGCAACAGAAAAUGUGGAUGAAGUCCUUAAAUUUUAUGACAAAGACUUUGACAAGGAACGAGCGACAGAGAUAUGUUUUGCCAACUCUGUCCUUCGAAGAUUAAAAUCUUAUUUACGCUCAACCAUGCUCCAGGACAAGUUAAAUAAUGUGGCUAUUUUGCACGUUUACGCAAAUGAAGCAUCAAAAUUAGAUUUAAAUUUGUUAAUGGAUAAGUUUAUAGCAAAAUUGAAUAUAGAAAAACUGUUUUUGCAAUAAAUACAUACAUUUUUUUGAAUUUUUUUUUUAUUUAUUCUACCCAUCCGAAAUUUACAUGAACCGCCGCGCCUGGUUGUGAUUGCAGCUUCUCGACGUCGAACCUUCCUUGUGUUUGUUGACAUGCGUUUUUUGCUGCACAGAGACGGGUGCGAGUCUUGGCUGUGACAAGAUAGUGGUCCGAGUCGAUGUAAGGACCUCGGAGCAUAAGUACGUCUAGAACACUGGAGACGUGUCUUCCGUCUAUAAAAACAUGAUCGAUCUAGUUGGUGGCUUUUCGAUCCGGAGGCAGCCAAUUAGCUUGAUGUAUUUUCUUAUUCUGGAAUCUAGUACUACAGAUAACCAUAUUUCGGGCCCCGGUGAAGCCGAUCAGCCUCAACCCAUUUGGGGAUGUUUCGUCGUGGAGGCUAAAUUUACCGACCGUAGUGCCAAAGAUACCUUCUUUGCCCACCCUGGCGUUAAAGUUGCCAAGCAUGAUUUUGACAUCGUAGCGGGGGCAGCUCUCAUAAGUGCGCUCCAAGCGCUCAUAGAAGGCAUCUUUAGUCACAUCUUCCUUCUCUUCCGUCGGGGCGUGGGCGCAAAUCAACGAUAUGUUGAAGAACCUCGCUUUAAUGCGGAUUGUGGCUAGACGUUCAUUCACUGGAGUGAAUGAUAGUACUCGGCGACGGAGUCUCUCUCCCACCACGAAUCCCACACCAAACUUGCGCUCCUUUAUAUGGCCACUGUUUUAUUGGAAACAAAAAAAAAAAACAAUGGCUGACAGUGAUAAUUUAGAAAGUGAAAGUAUGCAGCCUACAAAGAAAGCAAAAUUAGACGACGACACACAAUCAAGUCAUCAGUAAGUAAAUUAUAUUUUUUUAUUAUUAAUGUGUGCAUUUAUCUACAUUAAGCACGUGUAUAUAUUUAAAAAAAAAAUUAACUAAAAAAAGUAGGAAUAUUUAUUUAAAUUAUUAAUUAAAAAUAAAAUACAAAUAAAUUAAUUAUUUAAUAUUGAAUAUUAUUAUAUACUAGCUGACCCCGCAGCCGUUGUCCUGCGUGAAAUUAUGUGUUUUGAAAUGAAAAGAAAAAAAAUCAUAUUUUAUUGAUAAUCAUUUAUGUAUUUGCUAUUUGUCUACAUUUUUCUUCAAUGUAACGCAGCUUGAUAAACAAAAUUUUUUUGUUUCUGUUCCGGUGCGUAAAUAUACAGAGAAGAUGGUUUUCCAACUCGUGAGCACGCCACGUAUAUCUGGCCGUGUGAAAAACAUAGCAUUUCCAAAUUUAUGGCACCCACUAUGCGACUAUCCUGUUGAUCGUCAUCUUAAAUUCAAUUUUCACUGGAAACGGAAUACUUUUGAACUGAAAUGGCAAAUCAGAACUCAAAAAAAAUCCGUAGAAUCAAGCAUUCUGACCCUUAUAUUUGAUAGGUGCGUCACAAUCAGAUUGCAAUGGUGGGGUGACAUACCAGGCCUCUCCAAAGAAUUUAGAAAUUCCACUGGUAGUUCACGGUGUCGUCUUCAUUGUCAAGACGAUCGAUCGAUUUGUAUGACCGCAAGUCUCCUGGAAUUUGACUUUGAAUUUUCCAGUUUAAGUCAACAACAUAGGUAUUUGUGGCAGCUAACAUUGCCCGUACACUCAAGGAAUCGUACUCACGACAAUUUGGCCAAUGUUCAUAUAAACAUUCGUGAUGAGUCCAUCUUUCGUGAAUUGAUAAACGGCAAAUCGGAUUGAUAUCAGACCACGGGAAGUAUCAACCAGUAUUGACCCAUUUCCAAUUCUUAGCGUAUGCAAUGUAAAAUGUCUUCGGCAAUGUAAUUUCGGUCGUAUCCCAUAACGCGGAUUUGAAGGGUGAUCAUCGCGAAAUGUGUGCGAACUUCAGUGGCAUUCGAAGUAGCCAUCGCAUUGUCUUUGUAAUUGCUGGCUAGCUUCUCAAAAAGUUGCAUACACCUUACCAUUCACAGUAUGCAAUGACUCAAAUGAAUUUGAACCGCGUACAUUAAUCAAUAGCAACCGAAGGUAAAAACAAUCGUCGUUUUUCAGGUGGAUUGUGUAAAUUCGUUCUAAUGCAUUAGUUGAGAACACACCUGGAUGUCUAUCUACUGGAUGACCCUGCUUUCUGCGCAACUAUUUCUUCGAUGAUGAAUCCCAUGUAUAAUAUCAAUGUAUUUCGAAUAGAGCAAUGUUCUCGCAAACGGAUCACUGACGGAAGUUGAGAAAAAACUCGCCAGUGUUAAUUUUGUUGCUGGUGGUGUUUCUGUUGACUGUACUGUAUUCUCUGGGUUGAAAUAGACUCUUUGGUCAUUCUCCAAAUUAACUUCGAGACGCACAACAGUCGGAAAACGUUCAUGAAUUGCAAAAGAAAUAUCCUAUAAAGCGCUUUAUUUCAGUUCACGUAUCGACCGUAUCGUUCAAAACCACUAACCGCCAUGUUGCUUCCUAUGGUGACGUAUUUACAAACGUAUUUUAUCGAUUACACCAAACUACAAUACACAACAUUCACAUGACUUUAGAAUGUGAAUUAGACAAUAGUGGCGAAUAUGGUACGAUCCAUGUGUUGUCAACUUUGAUGUGUUGUUAACUUCGAUAUUUACGCCUCUAAAUUGAAUGCUAAAUGUCUG